GAUGAACGCUGGCGGCGUGCCUAAUACAUGCAAGUCGAGCGAACAGACGAGGAGCUUGCUCCUCUGACGUUAGCGGCGGACGGGUGAGUAACACGUGGAUAACCUACCUAUAAGACUGGUAUAACUUCGGGAAACCGGAGCUAAUACCGGAUAAUAUAUUGAACCGCAUGGUUCAAUAGUGAAAGACGGUUUUGCUGUCACUUAUAGAUGGAUCCGCGCCGCAUUAGCUAGUUGGUAAGGUAACGGCUUACCAAGGCAACGAUGCGUAGCCGACCUGAGAGGGUGAUCGGCCACACUGGAACUGAGACACGGUCCAGACUCCUACGGGAGGCAGCAGUAGGGAAUCUUCCGCAAUGGGCGAAAGCCUGACGGAGCAACGCCGAGUGAGUGAUGAAGGUCUUCGGAUCGUAAAACUCUGUUAUUAGGGAAGAACAAAUGUGUAAGUAACUAUGCACGUCUUGACGGUACCUAAUCAGAAAGCCACGGCUAACUACGUG
rnacentral:rRNA from 1 species